GGUUAAAGCUGCUCCAAACUCCAAACUGCAAGAUGCUCUGACCCAAGGAGGUUCCAAGCCUUUGUGUAGCCGAAGAUCACAUGAUCGGCCUAGUUGUUUCUAGACAGAAUAGUCAAUUCGUUGGAGGAAAAGACGCAUCAUGAAGUCAGGUUGAAAGAGGGGUUGAAGGACUUGGCUACUAAACGUAUGGAACUGCAUAAUUCUUUAUCUUCAUCAUGGCCAAAGCAAGAUGCGGUUCUGGCAAAAACAAAAGAGCUGAAAAAACUAUGAGGGUACACUUUCAUCCAUGUUUGAUGGAAGACCAGUUAAUAUAAUUGGGGAGAUCAACACUCUUUUGACUAGUGGUCUUGGAGCAUGAAGAAAAGUAGCUUCUGAUGAAAAUGAUGAAGUCUUU